AGUAUAUUUUGGACAACUUGCACAUCACAUAAUAAUGUGUAUUAAUGUAUUAAUACACCCAUUUUGAUCUUUUGUUCAUAUGUGUUUUUGAUACUGUGUUGUUGUUGUUGUUGUGUUUUUGCAGAAUCACAAGAUAAGGAAGCUAGCUAACUUCAAAGCAUCCACUAGCAACUCAGCAAGAAACUAUGGAAGAGAAGAGUGAUAUUGCAAAGGAUGUCACAGAGCUUAUCGGGAACACCCCUAUGGUAUAUCUCAACAAAAUCGUUGAAGGUUGCGCUGCCCAAAUUGCAGCCAAGUUGGAGUCAAUGGAACCAUGCUCAAGUGUCAAAGACAGGAUGGCAUACAGUAUGAUCAAAGAUGCAGAAGAUAAGGGCCUGAUUACUCCUGGAAAGACAGUCCUCCUUGAGGUGACCAGUGGUAAUACCGGCAUUGGUCUUGCAUUUAUUGCAGCAGCUCGUGGCUACAAGCUCGUGACAGUGAUGCCAGCAUCAUACAGUCUUGAGAGAAGGAUUGUUCUUAAAGCUUUGGGUUCUGAGUUAUACAUCACAGAUCCAGCCAAAGGUAUAGAUGGUGUGCUUCAGAAGGCUGAAGAAAUACUAGAUAGGACGCCAAACUGUCAUUUCUUUCGUCAGUUUGAGAACCCUGCCAAUCCAAAGAUCCAUUAUGAAACAACUGGACCAGAAAUAUGGAAGUGCACAGGAGGGAAAAUUGAUAUUUUUAUUGCCGGGAUUGGAACUGGAGGCACAGUGACGGGAGCUGGAAGGUUCCUUAAGGAGAAGAAUCCAGAAAUAAAGGUAUAUGGUAUGGAACCAGCCGAAAAUGCAAUUCUGAAUGGAGGACAAAAAGGGCCACAUAAAAUCCAAGGAAUUGGUGCUGGUUUUGUCCCAGUCGUUCUCGAUCUCAGCAUCCUGGAUGAAGUUCUUCAAGUAUCUAGUGAUGAAGCUAUUGAAAUGACAAAGCUUCUUGCAUUGAAAGAAGGUUUGCUGGUAGGAAUAUCGUCGGGGGCUGCAGCUGCUGCAGCGAUAAAAGUAGCAAAAAAGCCAGAAAAUGCUGGGAAACUCAUUGCGGUUAUCUUCCCUAGUUUUGGGGAACGUUAUCUCUCCACCGUGCUGUUUGAUUCUAUUCGAGAAGAGGUGGCUAACAUGACUUUUGAACAAUAGUAUGCUUCUUUGGACUGAGUGAUAGGGUAUUGAAGGAAGUUAUGUGUUGUAACUUGAGGUUAAAUAGAAAAUACAACUUGUUCUGCAGUUGUUUGUUAUGACUUAUGAGUUCCUUGGUUGGCUCUCGUCUCUGCGAGCUCAGCGGCAGCUUGUUGGGCUGGGCAGCCAGCUUGAGUCUGUUCCUGAUGCUGGACUUCACCAAUGGUAAUCACUGCUUCUUCAGCCUAAGAUUUUGCUCGUCUCCUUUGUAAUUUACACAAGAAUUAGCUUUUAACCUCUCUUUUUUCUUGGUGACAACUCCUCCCAAAUUAGCUUAACCUUUCUUUUUUCCUUUCAGUUACAAACCCCGCUAAAACUAUUUGACUUUAGUUUUUAAAAUUCUACCAGCUUCAAUUUACAAAUUGUAUAACAGAACAUAAAUUUGCAACAUUGCUUAUUGGAACAAUGUAAUAGAUUAAGCAGGGACACAAUAAUUUCUUUCAACCGUUGUGCAACACUUGUCACAAAUAAAAGAAAGAAAGAAAGAAAGAGUUGCUACUUUAAUAACAAAUGAAACACUUUUCAGAUUGUAAGGGAAAGUGAAGCUUUCCAGCAAACUGUGUGGAACUAGAUAAUUACUUCUGUACAGUGUAAAGCAUGCAUUUAUGACUGUAAUGGAAAAACAUCGCUAACUCCUAGGACGUGCAGAAGAGUCGGGCGAAAAAGUUACAUGCUCUUCAAAAAAAAAAAAAA